ACUUUUUCCACCGGAGCUUGCUCCACCGGAAAAAGANGAGUGGCGAACGGGUGAGUAACACGUGGGUAACCUGCCCAUCAGAAGGGGAUAACACUUGGAAACAGGUGCUAAUACCGUAUAACAAUCNAAACCGCAUGGUUUUGAUUUGAAAGGCGCUUUCGGGUGUCGCUGAUGGAUGGACCCGCGGUGCAUUAGCUAGUUGGUGAGGUAACGGCUCACCAAGGCCACGAUGCAUAGCCGACCUGAGAGGGUGAUCGGCCACAUUGGGACUGAGACACGGCCCAAACUCCUACGGGAGGCAGCAGUAGGGAAUCUUCGGCAAUGGACGAAAGUCUGACCGAGCAACGCCGCGUGAGUGAAGAAGGUUUUCGGAUCGUAAAACUCUGUUGUUAGAGAAGAACAAGGAUGAGAGUAACUGUUCAUCCCUUGACGGUAUCUAACCAGAAAGCCACGGCUAACUACGUGCCAGCAGCCGCGGUAAUACGUAGGUGGCAAGCGUUGUCCGGAUUUAUUGGGCGUAAAGCGAGCGCAGGCGGUUUCUUAAGUCUGAUGUGAAAGCCCCCGGCUCAACCGGGGAGGGUCAUUGGAAACUGGGAGACUUGAGUGCAGAAGAGGAGAGUGGAAUUCCAUGUGUAGCGGUGAAAUGCGUAGAUAUAUGGAGGAACACCAGUGGCGAAGGCGGCUCUCUGGUCUGUAACUGACGCUGAGGCUCGAAAGCGUGGGGAGCAAACAGGAUUAGAUACCCUGGUAGUCCACGCCGUAAAGAUGAGUGCUAAGUGUUGGAGGGUUUCCGCCCUUCAGUGCUGCAGCUAACGCAUUAAGCACUCCGCCUGGGG
rnacentral:rRNA from 1 species